CUGUCCACCACGUUCCACCGUGACGGCAACAUAAAAGGUUUUAAAUUUUUUUUCCUAUAUAUAAUAUGUAGAAUGUAAUUUUAGUUCUCAAUCCAAAGGCAGGUCUGAACUCUGAAGAGAACAAUUCACUGAAAAGGAAAGCCCUAAUUAGGAAAAGAAAUUUAGCAAUCAAAGAGGAGAAGAAGAGAUGUCAGAGAAGUUCUAGCCGACGUUGAGGAUUGGAGAUCUCAGCGAUUUCAUAGCACCGUCUCAGGCUUGUGUUGUUUCUUUGAAGGGAUUGAAAUCAACCACUAAGAAACCUGAUAAAUCCCAAGUUUCAAUUGCUAAGCAGCAGCAAACUGAACCUGUUAAAAUCUCUCUCAAGGACUGUUUGGCAUGCAGUGGAUGCAUAACAUCAGCAGAGACCAUUAUGCUAGAGAAGCAAAGUUUAGAUGAAUUCCUUUCUAAUAUUGAUAAAGGAAAAGUGGUUAUUGUCUCUGUGUCUCCACAAUCCAGAGCUUCUCUCGCAGUUCAUUUUGGCAUCUCCCUGCUUCAGGUUUUUAAGAAACUCACUUCAUUUUUUAAGUCUUUGGGUGUAAAGGCUGUAUUUGAUACAAGUUGCAGUAGAGAUUUAACUCUUGUUGAAACUUGUAAUGAGUUCAUUAUGCGCUACAAGCAAAACCAAUCAAAAGAUGAUGAUAGAUCUAAAUCAGCGCUACCUAUGCUUUCAUCAGCGUGUCCAGGUUGGAUAUGUUAUGCUGAAAAACAAUUAGGAUCCUAUAUUCUGCCUUAUAUAUCUUCUGUGAAGAGCCCUCAACAAACAAUUGGAGCUACCAUUAAGCAUCACAUAUGUCAAAAGAUGGGUCUUAGGCCGGACGAGGUUUACCAUGUGACUGUGAUGCCUUGUUAUGAUAAGAAGCUUGAGGUUGCAAGGGAUGACUUUGUUUUUGAAGUGGAAUCCCAGGAAGAAACUAAUGAGAGUGGCAUCAGGAUUACAGAGGUAGAUUCUGUUUUAACAUCCGGAGAAGUUUUAGAUUUAAUAAAGUUGAAAGAGGUAGAUUUUGCAGCCUUAGAAGACCCUCUACUAGAUAGAAUGUUGACAAAUGUUAAUGAAGAGGGGCAUCUUUAUGGAGUAACUGGAAGCUCUGGUGGUUAUGCAGAAACAGUGUUUCGAAAUGCUGCUAAAACACUUUUUGGAAAAGAAAUCAAAGGUCCUUUGGCAUUCAAAACGAUAAGAAAUACAGAUUUCCGUGAACUGACUCUGGAAGUAGAUGGACAAGUUGUGUUGAAAUUUGCACUUUGUUAUGGCUUCCAGAAUCUGCAAAAUAUUGUAAGAAAAGUUAAAAUGCGAAAAUGUGAUUAUCAUUUUGUGGAGGUUAUGGCAUGUCCAUCAGGUUUAUUUCUCCUUUCCUUCCUGUUUCUCUUUAUAGGAGUUGUAGGUUCAAUCUAUUUGGGAGAAAAUGUAUAGUCAAUGCAUGUUGAAUUAAUUUGAUACAUCUAGUUUGUCUUCUAUAUCAAACAGAAAUCCAGUGUAGGUAUUAAUUGAUAACUUUUCAAUGUAACAGGUUGCUUGAAUGGUGGAGGUCAAAUCAAACCUACUCCAGGGCAAAAUCCAAAGGAUUUGCUUCAGUCAUUAGAAACUGUUUACAUGGAAAAUGUUUUGGUAGCAGAUCCCUUUGAGAACCCUCUUGUUAAAAGUUUAUAUGAUGAGUGGCUUGAAGAACCUGGCUCGGAGAACGCUAAAAGAUUCAUGCACACAGCAUAUCAUCCUAUAGUAAAAAGUGUAACUGCUCAGUUACAUAAUUGGUAAACUGGUCCCUAAUCUGAUUCCACAGAAAAUAUCAGAACUGCCCUUGCCUGCAAUCUUUGGGCUUGUUUUUGUCAAGGUAUUGUUGCAGUCUCACAAGAUAAUGUCCUUCAUCUGUGGUUCAUGGCUUGUUUAUGGGAUUGCAUUGUGCAGUGGAGUUCAAUUUUGGUAGACUAAACAGAUUUGUUAUUGUACCAUGUUCUACUAAUGUAUAUGCUGUAUGCUAGAAGCCUUUUCAGAUAGGAGAAAAAAAUUGGUUGACAUUGUUUCCUGUCACUAUUUUUUCCCCCUUUCCUUCCAGGUUUAAGGAUCCAAAUAAUAUUCCGAAUUCAUGUAUAUGCCUUUUUGUCUCAUUUUUGUAUAAUUGAACUGGUCUUCAGGAAUUGUGACCACCUGUUAGUGAAACGAAAUAAUGUUAAUGCCUCAAAUGCCUAAUGAAUGAAUCAAUC
rnacentral:misc_RNA from 1 species